rnacentral:rRNA from 1 species
GAUGAACGCUGGCGGCGUGCCUAAUACAUGCAAGUCGAGCGAACAGACGAGGAGCUUGCUCCUCUGACGUUAGCGGCGGACGGGUGAGUAACACGUGUAUAACCUACCUAUAAUACUGGGAUAACUUCGGGAAACCGGAGCUAAUACCGGAUAAUAUAUUGAACCGCAUGGUUCAAUAGUGAAAGACGGUGUUGCUGUCACUUAUAGAUGGAUCCGCGCCGCAGUAGCUAGUUGGUAAGGUAACGGCUUACCAAGGCAACGAUGCGUAGCCGAACUGAGAGGGUGGUCGGCCGCACUGGAACUGAGACACGGUCCAGACUCCUACGGGAGGCAGCAGUAGGGAAUCUUCCGCAAUGGGGGAAAGCAUGACGGAGCAACGCCGCGUGAGUGAUGAAGGUCUUCGGAUCGUAAAACUCUGUUAUUAGGGAAGAACAAAUGUGUAAGUAACUAUGCACGUCUUGACGGUAACUAAUCAGAAAGCCACGGCUAACUACGUG